rnacentral:tRNA from 3 species
GGAGAGAUGGCCGAGUGGUCGAAGGCGCACGCCUGGAAAGUGUGUGUACCCCACAAGGGUACCGAGGGUUCGAAUCCCUCUCUCUCCGCAA